GAAUAAGGGCCUGAUCAAAAACCUAUUGUAGCCAAUGGGAGUGUUUCCAUUGACUUCAAUGGGCUUUGAAUCAGGCCCUAAACUC
rnacentral:pre_miRNA from 1 species